rnacentral:rRNA from 1 species
GACGAACGCUGGCGGCGUGCUUAACACAUGCAAGUCGAACGAUGAAGCCGGAGCUUGCUCCGGUGGAUUAGUGGCGAACGGGUGAGUAACACGUGAGCAAUCUGCCCUUGACUCUGGGAUAACUGCGGGAAACUGUAGCUAAUACCGGAUACGACACCUUGGGGCAUCCCUGGGUGUGGAAAGAAUUUCGGUCAAGGAUGAGCUCGCGGCCUAUCAGCUAGUUGGUGAGGUAAUGGCUCACCAAGGCGACGACGGGUAGCCGGCCUGAGAGGGUGACCGGCCACACUGGAACUGAGACACGGUCCAGACUCCGACGGGAGGCAGCAGUGGGGAAUAUUGCACAAUGGGCGAAAGCCUGAUGCAGCAACGCCGCGUGAGGGAUGAAGGCCUUCGGGUUGUAAACCUCUUUUAGCAGGGAAGAAGCGAAAGUGACGGUACCUGCAGAAAAAGCACCGGCUAACUACGUGCCAGUCGCCGCGGUAA